rnacentral:rRNA from 1 species
GACGAACGCUGGCGGCGUGCUUAACACAUGCAAGUCGAACGGUAAGGCCCUUCGGGGUACACGAGUGGCGAACGGGUGAGUAACACGUGGGUAAUCUGCCCUGCACAUCGGGAUAAGCCUGGGAAACUGGGUCUAAUACCGAAUAGGACCACAGGACACAUGUCCUGUGGUGGAAAGCUUUUGCGGUGUGGGAUGGGCCCGCGGCCUAUCAGCUUGUUGGUGGGGUGAUGGCCUACCAAGGCGACGACGGGUAGCCGGCCUGAGAGGGUGUCCGGCCACACUGGGACUGAGAUACGGCCCAGACUCCUACGGGAGGCAGCAGUGGGGAAUAUUGCACAAUGGGCGAAAGCCUGAUGCAGCGACGCCGCGUGGGGGAUGACGGCCUUCGGGUUGUAAACCUCUUUCACCAUCGACGAAGGUCCGGGUUUUCUCGGGCGGACGGUAGGUGGAGAAGAAGCACCGGCCAACUACGU